CGCGUAGGCGGUCUGUCGAGUUAGGCGUGAAAGGCCUGGGCUUAACCCAGGAAUGGCGCUUAAUACUGACGGGCUUGAGAUUGGAAGAGGAGAGUGGAAUUCCCAGUGUAGAGGUGAAAUUCGUAGAUAUUGGGAAGAACACCGGUGGCGAAGGCGGCUCUCUGGUCCACAUCUGACGCUGAGGCGCGAAAGCGUGGGGAGCAAACAGGAUUAGAUACCCUGGUAGUCCACGCCGUAAACGAUGAGUGCUAGACGUUGGGGGGCUUGGCUCCUCGGUGUCGCAGCUAACGCGUUAAGCACUCCGCCUGUGGAGUACGGUCGCAAGAUUAAA
rnacentral:rRNA from 1 species